rnacentral:rRNA from 1 species
GAUGAACGCUAGCGAUAGGCUUAACACAUGCAAGUCGCGGGGCAGCACAAGGUAGCUUGCUAUCUGGGUGGCGACCGGCGCACGGGUGCGUAACGCGUAUGCAACUUGCCCUAUACAGGAGGAUAACCCGUCGAAAGACGGACUAAUACUGCGUAUGCUCACAACUUGGCAUCAAGUGGUGAGGAAAGAAAUUCGGUAUAGGAUAGGCAUGCGUCCCAUUAGCUUGUUGGUGAGGUAACGGCUCACCAAGGCAACGAUGGGUAGGGGAACUGAGAGGUUUAUCCCCCACACUGGUACUGAGACACGGACCAGACGCCUACGGGAGGAAGCAGUGAGGAAUAGUGGUCAAUGGGCGCGAGCCUGAACCAGCCAAGUCGCGUGAAGGAUGACUGUCUUAUGGAUUGUAAACUUCUUUUAGACGGGAAUAACAAGAGUCACGUGUGACUCCCUGCAUGUACCGUAUGAAUAAGCAUCGGCUAACUCCGUG